UAAGGAAUAUUGGUCAAUGGACGCAAGUCUGAACCAGCCAUGCCGCGUGAAGGAUGAAGGUCCUCUGGAUUGUAAACUUCUUUUAUCUGGGACGAAAACCGGAUUUUUAUCUCAAUUGACGGUACCAGAGGAAUAAGCACCGGCUAACUCCGUGCCAGCAGCCGCGGUAAUACGGAGGGUGCGAGCGUUAUCCGGAUUUACUGGGUUUAAAGGGUGCGUAGGUGGGCUUAUAAGUCAGUGGUGAAAUCUCCGAGCUUAACUUGGAAACUGCCGUUGAUACUAUAGGUCUUGAAUUAUCUGGAGGUAAGCGGAAUAUGUCAUGUAGCGGUGAAAUGCUUAGAUAUGACAUAGAACACCAAUUGCGAAGGCAGCUUACUACAUAUAAAUUGACGCUGAGGCACGAAAGCGUGGGGAUCAAACA
rnacentral:rRNA from 1 species